rnacentral:rRNA from 1 species
UGGGGAAUUUUGGACAAUGGGCGAAAGCCUGAUCCAGCAAUGCCGCGUGUGUGAAGAAGGCCUUCGGGUUGUAAAGCACUUUUGUCCGGAAAGAAAUCCUUGGCUCUAAUACAGUCGGGGGAUGACGGUACCGGAAGAAUAAGCACCGGCUAACUACGUGCCAGCAGCCGCGGUAAUACGUAGGGUGCAAGCGUUAAUCGGAAUUACUGGGCGUAAAGCGUGCGCAGGCGGUUUGCUAAGACCGAUGUGAAAUCCCCGGGCUCAACCUGGGAACUGCAUUGGUGACUGGCAGGCUAGAGUAUGGCAGAGGGGGGUAGAAUUCCACGUGUAGCAGUGAAAUGCGUAGAGAUGUGGAGGAAUACCGAUGGCGAAGGCAGCCCCCUGGGCCAAUACUGACGCUCAUGCACGAAAGCGUGGGGAGCAAACAGGAUUAGAUACCCUGGUAGUCCACGCCCUAAACGAUGUCAACUAGUUGUUGGGGAUCAUUCCUUAGUAACGUAGCUAACGCGUGAAGUUGACCGCCUGGGGAGUACGGUCGCAAGAUUAAAACUUAAAGGAAUUGACGGGGUCAUAGCUGUUUCCU